rnacentral:rRNA from 1 species
CCUACGGGUGGCUGCAGUAACGAAUCUUCCCCAAUGCACGAAAGUGUGAGGGAGCGACGCUGCGUGGAGGAUGAAGUCCUUCGGGAUGUAAACUCCUGUCAGGGAAUACCAAGUUCUGAGGAUUCCCAGAGGAAGAGGCGGCUAACUCUGUGCCAGCAGCCGCGGUAAGACAGAGGCCUCAAGCGUUAGGCGGAAUCACUGGGCUUAAAGCGUGUGUAGGCGGACUUUUAAGUGCCUUGUGAAAUCCCACGGCUCAACCGUGGAACUGCUUGGCAUACUGGGAGUCUUGAGCCAUCUAGGGGCAGCUGGAACAGACGGUGGAGCGGUGAAAUGCGUAGAUAUCGUCUGGAACGCCAAAGGUGAAGACAGGCUGCUGGGGAUGUGCUGACGCUGAGACACGAAAGCCAGGGGAGCGAACGGGAUUAGAUACCCUAGUAGUC